GCCCAGGUUAGACUAGUGGGCAUGGCAUCUGCUUGGUAAGCGGAACACUGUGGGUUCGAUUCCCAUCCCUGGAUA
rnacentral:tRNA from 1 species